CCUACGGGUGGCAGCAGUGAGGAAUAUUGGUCAAUGGCCGGAAGGCUGAACCAGCCAUGCCGCGUGAAGGUCAGUGCCCUAUGGGCGUUAAACUUCUUUUGUGCGGGAGCAAUAAUGGUCACGUGUGGCCAGACGAGGGUACCGUACGAAUAAGCAUCGGCUAACUCCGUGCCAGCAGCCGCGGUAAUACGGGGGAUGCAAGCGUUAUCCGGAUUUAUUGGGUUUAAAGGGUGCGGAGGCUGUGAGGGAAGUCAGCGGUGAAAUGCCCCCGCUCAACGGGGUGAAGUGCCAUUGAUACUGGCUGGCUGGAAUGCGGAUGCGGUGGGAGGAAUGUGUGGUGUAGCGGUGAAAUGCAUAGAUAUCACACAGAACACCGAUUGCGAAGGCAUCUCACGAACCCGCGAUUGACGCUGAUGCACGAAAGCGUGGGUAUCAAACAGGAUUAGAUACCCCAGUAGUC
rnacentral:rRNA from 1 species